UACGUAGGUGGCGAGCGUUGUCCGGAUUUAUUGGGUUUAAAGGGUGCGUAGGCGGCCCUGUAAGUCAGUGCUGAAAUAUCCCGGCUUAACUGGGAGGGUGGCAUUGAUACUGUGGGGCUAGAGUACAGAUGAGGUAGGCGGAAUUGACAGUGUAGCGGUGAAAUGCUUAGAUAUCGUCAAGAACACCUAUAGCGAAGGCAGCUUACUAGGCUGUAACUGACGCUGAGGCACGAAAGUGUGGGGAUCAAACAGG
rnacentral:rRNA from 1 species